GUCACUGGCCAGCGCCACAUUGAGAGAAGCGGGAGGGGAGGGGGCUGCGCUCGUCACUAGCCCUGCUGAAGCCCGGAUGAACCGAUGGCCUCUGAACACCGUCACUUCAACCCUAUCACUCCUAUACAGUGUCGAGGAACUCCGCGCUCCAAAAGGAGCCUCCGCGUGCCUGAUAACCGUCCCGCGUCUUAUGCAGAUGACCAGUCCCAGGACACCCGGGGCAUGAUGAGUUGCUCAUAUGUCAUUCACUGGCCUCUUAUUUUGUUCCAAGAACUGGGAUACAGCAUACAACCCCAAGCUGGGAGUGCUCCAAGCCUAGGCUCUGUAGUAACACCCACCAGCCACCUGUAGCUACUGAGGACCUGAAAUGUAGUUGCUGUAGAGAGAUGCCCCAAUAUUUAUUAUUAAAAAGAAAUGCAAACUACCUUA